rnacentral:rRNA from 1 species
GACGAACGCUGGCGGCGUGCUUAACACAUGCAAGUCGAACGGUGAAGCGCCUUCCUUUUUGGUGGGUGUGGAUGAGUGGCGAACGGGUGAGUAACACGUGAGUAACCUGCCCCCUUCUUCUGGAUAACCGCAUGAAAGUGUGGCUAAUACGGGAUAUUCUGGGUCUGUCGCAUGAUGGGUCUGGGAAAGAUAUUGUUUCGGUGGGGGAUGGGCUCGCGGCCUAUCAGCUUGUUGGUGGGGUGAUGGCCUACCAAGGCGGUGACGGGUAGCCGGCCUGAGAGGGUGGACGGUCCCACUGGGACUGAGACACGGCCCAGACUCCUACGGGAGGCAGCAGGGGAGAAUAGUGCACAAUGGGCGCAAGCCUGAUGCAGCGACGCCGCGUGAGGGAUGGAGUCCUGCGGGUUGUGAACCUCUUUCGCCAGUGAAGCAGGCCUGCCUCGUUUGUGGGUGGGUUGACGGUAGCUGGAGAAGAAGCGCCGGCUAACUACGUG